ensembl:lncRNA
AGCCUGAGGAUUGUCCUUGUGUGUCCCAUGGGGAACUUCUUUUAACUGCCCUGCUCAGGACACAGCUCAUCUGUCAACCCUGAGCCUGUCCAUCUCAUUCCACUGUAGUGAAAUAAAGUGAGAGGAGACGUUGUCGGAGUGUUUCAGAAAGUUAAUAUUGUUGUGCACGAGCCUGUCGUUUUGUAAAGCGUCAAACUCCCAGGCACCACGCGGUUUUCUCAGCAGAAGGGCUCGCAGACACAAAGCCAAGUUUAUAACCAGAGAGAAAUGUUUAAACAACAAUCUAGAGAAACCAAGAUUCUUAGCCCUGGAAUAAAAGAUCCCCAGCGUGUGGAGAGGAGCACAUGAAAUAUAGAAAUAUGGGAAGGAAAUGGAGAAGGAUUGUGGCAUUUGGACUUAGACUGGAAUUGAAACACCAGCU